GACGAACGCUGGCGGCGUGCCUAAUACAUGCAAGUUGAGCGAUGAAGCUUGGUGCUUGCACCAAUUUGAAGAGCAGCGAACGGGUGAGUAACGCGUGGGGAAUCUGCCUUUGAGCGGGGGACAACAUUUGGAAACGAAUGCUAAUACCGCAUAACAACUUUAAACAUAAGUUUUAAGUUUGAAAGAUGCAAUUGCAUCACUCAAAGAUGAUCCCGCGUUGUAUUAGCUAGUUGGUGAGGUAAAGGCUCACCAAGGCGAUGAUACAUAGCCGACCUGAGAGGGUGAGCGGCCACAUUGGGACUGUGACACGGCCCAAACGCCUACGGGAGGCAGCAGUAGGGAAACUUCGGCAAUGGACGAAAGUCUGGCCGAGCAACGCCGCGGGAGUGAAGAAGGUUUUCGGAUCGUAAAACUCUGUUGGUAGGGAAGAACGUUGGUGAGAGUGGAAAGCUCAUCAAGUGACGGUAACUACCCAGAAAGGGACGGCUAACUACGUG
rnacentral:rRNA from 1 species